GCCCUCGUUGUCUAAUGGUUAUGACGUCAGACUUCUACCAACGAGGGUGAUCUGGAGGUUGUGGGUUCGAGUCCCACCGGGGGUA